GAGGGUAUAGCUCAAGUGGUAGAGUGCCUGCUUAGCAUGUUUAGCAUGCAAGAGGUUCUGGGUUCGAUUCCCAGUACCUCCU
rnacentral:tRNA from 1 species